rnacentral:rRNA from 1 species
UACAGAGGUCCCAAGCGUUGUUCGGAUUCACUGGGCGUAAAGGGCGCGUAGGCGGUCGGGUAAGUCUGGCGUGAAAUCUCCAAGCCUAACUUGGAAACUGCGUUGGAUACUAUCCGGCUCGAGGAAUGGAGGGGAGUCUGGAAUACUUGGUGUAGCAGUGAAAUGCGUAGAUAUCAAGUGGAACACCAGUGGCGAAGGCGAGUCUCUGGACAUUUCCUGACGCUGAGGCACGAAAGCCAGGGGAGCAAACGGG